rnacentral:rRNA from 1 species
UACGGAGGGGGCUAGCGUUGUUCGGAAUUACUGGGCGUAAAGCGUACGUAGGCGGCUUUGUAAGUUAGAGGUGAAAGCCCGGGGCUCGACUCCGGAACUGCCUUUAAGACUGCAUCGCUAGAACGUCGGAGAGGUGAGUGGAAUUCCGAGUGUAGAGGUGAAAUUCGUGGAUAUUCGGAAGAACACCAGUGGCGAAGGCGACUUACUGGACACAUAUUGACGCUGAGGUGCGAAAGCGUGGGGAGCAAACAGG